CGUGAGUGAAGAAGGCUUUCGGGUCGUAAAGCUCUGUCAGAUAGGAAAAAAGUUCAUAUGUAAAUAGCUUAUGAAUCUGAUGGUACUAUCAGAGGAAGCACCGGCUAACUCCGUGCCAGCAGCCGCGGUAAUACGGAGGGUGCAAGCGUUGUUCGGAAUUAUUGGGCGUAAAGAGCGUGUAGGCGGUAUGGUAAGUCAGAUGUGAAAGCCCUGGGCUUAACUCAGGAAGUGCAUUUGAUACUGCCAUUCUUGAGUAUGGGAGAGGAGAGUGGAAUUCCUAGUGUAGAGGUGAAAUUCGUAGAUAUUAGGAGGAACACCCGUGGCGAAGGCGACUCUCUGGACCAAUACUGACGCUGAGACGCGAAAGCGUGGGGAGCAAACAGGAUUAGAUACCCUGGUAGUCCACGCCGUAAACGAUGAGAACUAGGUGUAGCGGGUAUUGACCCCUGCUGUGCCGAAGUUAACGCAUUAA
rnacentral:rRNA from 1 species